CUGGUUGGUGCUAUUGCUAUUUCAUCUUAAUUGAAAAAAAAAAACAAAAAAAAACUUAAUGUCUCCUUUUGGUGACAUCCACUCAAUAUUUGACUCUUCGUUUUGAUUCAAAUUCUGUUGUCUUACAAUUCACAACUCAGCUAAGUGUUUAUUUUCAUGAAUGACACCCAAGGCUUUGUGCCUGCAAGUAUCACUGCAUGAAGUGGGCUAUUUAAAGCAAAAUCUGUUUGCUUCCAAGAGAAGAACAAUGCUCUGAGUGUGAAUGAUGUGUCAAAACGUCAACCAAAUUGUCACCUGAAUGUGGCAGCUGCUCCAUUCUGAGGUUGGCAUUAAAUGAAAGAUAACUGAGCAAUGUUGUAGCUGGUUUUGUUUUGCUUAGUGAAGGUGUUGGUUUGAUUAGAAAUGCUUUUUCAGGCAUCCUCUUUGACAGUAAACAGCCAAACUUUUAUCUUGGUUUCUGAAUAAACUGCCUGUUGCCAAAAUCUCCUGUGCAGAAUAAUGUUGUGGGUGUUGGACACCACUGAGACCUGGCCCAGUUUCCUCCCUCGUUCUCCUGUGCUCUCUUUCCAUAUUCUCCAACCAGCCUGGCGCCCUCUCCUUCCAGUGGUGCUAAUCAGGGUGCAAUCUAUUGCAAGAUAAAGCAAUUAAGUAUUUGCAACUCCUUCUCCUUUUCCUGUAUCCUCUGUUACAGCAUUUAGUCCUUGCUCCUCAAACUCUGCUGCUUGUCCUUCAUCUCUUCUUGUCCUUCCCGUUGCAGCUGGUAAUGAACCAUGGAGGGAGAGGAGAGGAGACAACAAAACCCCGUGGCUGAUUGCACAGCAGAAUUGGACUUUAAUGAACUUCUAUGACUUCACAUGGAUGUGAAAUCUGGCACUUGGCAGAGCCAGAAGGAAACAUCUGGAUGCUUUUGAUCAAAGAUGCAUGUGGAAAAUGAGACUGCAGAGCAUCAAGAAUGGCACAGUUUAAGAAUGAGACUCUCCUCAACAGAAGUUGGGUCCUGCUUGAGAAUACUGCACAACAUUUCCCCUGGCUACAGAGAAAGGUGAGGAGAGGACAAAACCUGUACCUGGCUCUUCAGCAGCGUGAGGCACAUGGGACACAGGUAGAAAGUUGGAAAAAUAAUGGAAACUGAAGCAGCAACAUGUUGGCGAUGGGGGAGCUACAAAGGGGCCUCAAGGCAGCCCUGCUACCUGAUAGAAAAUCAGCCACAGCUCUUCAAAUGCUGAAACAAAUGAAAAAUCCACUGUCAGAGACAACACUGGGUGACGUGUGAUGGACAGCUCGUGCCAUCAGUGCUUAAAAAUUUUGGACACAUCCACCUCCAUGCUUUUAUAGAAACACCCACCUGGACACUUGGCUGCAUGACCACCAGUGAUAGCACUCAGUGAGAGCUCUCCCUAGGAGUCAGCUGUGGAUUUGGAUUCCCCAGAAGCACAAGUUUGCCUGACUUGAUAUUUUUUAAUGUGUUUUAUUUUUGCCUUCAGUGUCUGAUAGAAUUGCUGAAAUGAGUGAUGUCGAGCAGCAAACUUUGGGAUGCCUAGGGCAGCACUCAGGCACACUGAGGGAAAAUAUUAAAAACCUGUCAGAUGGGAAAGGACUCCUUCCUUUCUAAAGUGCCAGUGUUUUAUACACUGCCAGAAACACCUCUGCUUCUCCUGUGCUACCUCAGCUGGUACUGAUGAAAUUUGGUUUUCACUCACCCAGCUCCAGUCGUUGCUUAAGGGCCUGAAGGAGAUGAUUACUUAAGUCAGGGAGCAAUUUCAGGGAGGUGCGAUGUGAGGAGCUUUCUAAGGAAGAGGUAAUGGAGUUGGUUUUAACUCUUGCUGUGACAGCAAAAAAAUUCUGCCUUUCCUUCAGAGGAGGUGUCUGUGUCUGUCCAAAAUACCUGUGCAUGUUCCUUAUUUAUUCCAGCUUCUCCAGUUCUGUCUGUGUAGGGAGUGAGAUAGGAAGCAGUCCUGAUCUCUUCCAGGAGUAGCCAUGGCAUUUCUGCCAUAUUGUCUCAUUUCAUUUCUCAUCUGAUUUACAAAGAACCAUCUGUGAGUUUGAAUAAACAUUUAA